rnacentral:lncRNA from 1 species
AGAUUUUAUUAGUAACUAUACUAAAUCAAGAAUCGAGCAAAUGCGAUAUACAACAUACUACCAUGCACCCAUGCAGACUACACAUAUAUACUUAAAAGCUAAACCGACGAUCAACCCACCUCAAUAGUUAAUUCCAAUCCGGUGCGACGUCGAGAACAGCGGAAUCGCACCCUCGCCCGGCCUCCUCGCGAUGCUACGACGACGAACGUACACUCGAACGGCACCGCGACGCGACGUCGACGAUGAUCCGAGCUCCAACGACAACUCCACCACGUACG